rnacentral:rRNA from 1 species
UACGGAAGGCAGCAGUGGGGAAUAUUGCACAAUGGGCGCAAGCCUGAUGCAGCCAUGCCGCGUGUAUGAAGAAGGCCUUCGGGUUGUAAAGUACUUUCAGUCGUGAGGAAGGUGUUAAGGUUAAUAACCUUAGCAAUUGACGUUAGCGACAGAAGAAGCACCGGCUAACUCCGUGCCAGCAGCCGCGGUAAUACGGAGGGUGCGAGCGUUAAUCGGAAUUACUGGGCGUAAAGGGCACGCAGGCGGUUAAUUAAGUUGGAUGUGAAAUCCCCGGGCUUAACCUGGGAAUGGCAUUCAAGACUGGUUAGCUAGAGUCUUGUAGAGGGGGUUAGAAUUCCAUGUGUAGCGGUGAAAUGCGUAGAGAUGUGGAGGAAUACCGGUGGCGAAGGCGGCCCCUGGACAAAGACUGACGCUCAUGUGCGAAAGCGUGGGGAGCAAACAGGGAUUAGAUAC